GGAUUUUGUAAUCUUUGGUAGUUAUUGCACUGUUCAUGUACCUGGCUGGGCACCUAUCAUCGCACGUACCAGCAUUACAAUAUUCACCACUGGAAUCUGGAUUCAAGGGUCGAGUCGUCUGUCUGCCUGAUUCUGUUGGAGAAAAGAGGGUCGUUAUUGAUCACUGGGGAGCUCCUGCUCAGCAGUGCAUUCUGGGAAAGGGUGAUACUGGUUAGGAGGUGGGUGUUGAGAGGCAGUGACACAUUAGCAACAAUCCCCCACCCCUCAAGGUCACACAGAAGGCCCAGAUGCAAGAGGCACUGCUGGCACCCAGUGGUGGAAAGCAGCAAUGACCAGCGAGUUGUGAUAUAGAUAGUAGAAACCCACCAACCACCCCCAAAACGUGACAAGGAAAUAUAUCUGCAAUGAUCUAUGACCAUUAAAAGCCAUUAUGAAGCCUGAA